GACGAACGCUGGCGGCGUGCUUAACACAUGCAAGUCGAACGGUGAAGCUCCAGCUUGCUGGAGUGGAUCAGUGGCGAACGGGUGAGUAACACGUGAGCAACCUGCCCCUGACUCUGGGAUAAGCGCUGGAAACGGCGGCUAAUACUGGAUACGAGAAGGGUCCGCAUGGGCACGGUCUGGAAAGUUCUUCGGUUGGGGAUGGGCUCGCGGCCUAUCAGCUUGUUGGUGAGGUAAUGGCUCACCAAGGCGACGACGGGUAGCCGGCCUGAGAGGGCGACCGGCCACACUGGGACUGAGACACGGCCCAGACUCCUACGGGAGGCAGCAGUGGGGAAUAUUGCACAAUGGGCGAAAGCCUGAUGCAGCGACGCCGCGUGAGGGAUGACGGCCUUCGGGUUGUAAACCUCUUUCAGCAGGGAAGAAGCGAAAGUGACGGUACCUGCAGAAGAAGCACCGGCUAACUACGUG
rnacentral:rRNA from 1 species